rnacentral:rRNA from 1 species
AUUGAACGCUGGCGGCAUGCUUUACACAUGCAAGUCGAACGGUAACAGGCCGCAAGGUGCUGACGAGUGGCGAACGGGUGAGUAAUGCAUCGGAACGUGCCCAGUCGUGGGGGAUAACGCAGCGAAAGCUGCGCUAAUACCGCAUACGAUCUGUGGAUGAAAGCGGGGGACCUUCGGGCCUCGCGCGAUUGGAGCGGCCGAUGUCAGAUUAGGUAGUUGGUGGGGUAAAGGCUCACCAAGCCGACGAUCUGUAGCUGGUCUGAGAGGACGACCAGCCACACUGGGACUGAGACACGGCCCAGACUCCUACGGGAGGCAGCAGUGGGGAAUUUUGGACAGUGGGGGCAACCCUGAUCCAGCAAUGCCGCGUGCAGGAAGAAGGCCUUCGGGCUGUAAACUGCUUUUGUACGGAACGAAACGGUCCUGGUUAAUACCUGGGGCUAAUGACGGUACCGUAAGAAUAAGCACCGGCUAACUACGUGCCAGCAGCCGCCGUAACAC